rnacentral:tRNA from 1 species
AUCCCUUUAGCCAAGCGGUUAAGGCAGUGGGACACUCUCCCACGAAUCGGGAGUUCGAUCCUCCCAAGGGGCGC